GGAAGGGUGGCCGAGUGGUUAAUGGCAGCAGACUGUAAAUCUGCCCGCGUAAGCGUACAUAGGUUCGAAUCCUAUCCCUUCCACCA
rnacentral:tRNA from 1 species